AACGAACGCUGGCGGCAGGCCUAACACAUGCAAGUCGAACGCCGUAGCAAUACGGAGUGGCAGACGGGUGAGUAACACGUGGGAACGUACCCUUCGGUUCGGAAUAACUCAGGGAAACUUGAGCUAAUACCGGAUACGUCCGAGAGGAGAAAGAUUUAUCGCCGAGGAUCGGCCCGCGUCUGAUUAGCUUGUUGGUGAGGUAACGGCUCACCAAGGCGACGAUCAGUAGCUGGCUGAGAGGAUGAUCAGCCACCAUUGGGACGUGAGACACGGCCCAAACUCCUACGGGAGGCAGCAGUGGGGAAUAUUGGACAAUGGGCGCAAGCCUGAUCCAGCCAUGCCGCGUGAGUGAUGAAGGCCCGUA
rnacentral:rRNA from 1 species